UACCAGCACCCCGAGUGGUCGGGACGAUUAUUGGGCCUAAAGCAUCCGUAGCCGGUUCUGCAAGUCUUCCGUUAAAUCCAGCCGCUCAACGGAUGGGCCGCGGGGGAUACUAUAGGACUAGGAGGCGGGAGAGGCAAGCGGUACUCAGUGGGUAGGGGUAAAAUCCUUUGAUCCAUUGAAGACCACCAGUGGCGAAGGCGGCUUGCCAGAACGCGCUCGACGGUGAGGGAUGAAAGCUGGGGGAGCAAACCGG
rnacentral:rRNA from 1 species